GUCGAACGGUAACAGGAAGAAGCUUGCUUCUUUGCUGACGAGUGGCGGACGAGUGAGUAAUGUCUGGGAAACUGCCUGAUGGAGGGGGAUAACUACUGGAAACGGUAGCUAAUACCGCAUAACGUCGCAAGACCAAAGAGGGGGACCUUCGGGCCUCUUGCCAUCGGAUGUGCCCAGAUGGGAUUAGCUAGUAGGUGGGGUAACGGCUCACCUAGGCGACGAUCCCUAGCUGGUCUGAGAGGAUGACCAGCCACACUGGAACUGAGACACGGUCCAGACUCCUACGGGAGGCAGCAGUGGGGAAUAUUGCACAAUGGGCGCAAGCCUGAUGCAGCCAUGCCGCGUGUAUGAAGAAGGCCUUCGGGUUGUAAAGUACUUUCAGCGGGGAGGAAGGGAGUAAAGUUAAUACCUUUGCUCAUUGACGUUACCCGCAGAAGAAGCACCGGCUAACUCCGUGCCAGCAGCCGCGGUAAUACGGAGGGUGCAAGCGUUAAUCGGAAUUACUGGGCGUAAAGCGCACGCAGGCGGUUUGUUAAGCCAGAUGUGAAAUCCCCGGGCUCAACCUGGGAACUGCAUCUGAUACUGGCAAGCUUGAGUCUCGUAGAGGGGGGUAGAAUUCCAGGUGUAGCGGUGAAAUGCGUAGAGAUCUGGAGGAAUACCGGUGGCGAAGGCGGCCCCCUGGACGAAGACUGACGCUCAGGUGCGAAAGCGUGGGGAGCAA
rnacentral:rRNA from 1 species